GGGACACGUGGUAUCCUGUCUGAAUAUGGGGGGACCAUCCUCCAAGGCUAAAUACUCCUGACUGACCGAUAGUGAACCAGUACCGUGAGGGAAAGGCGAAAAGAACCCCGGCGAGGGGAGUGAAAAAGAACCUGAAACCGUGUACGUACAAGCAGUGGGAGCACGCUUAGGCGUGUGACUGCGUACCUUUUGUAUAAUGGGUCAGCGACUUAUAUUCUGUAGCAAGGUUAACCGAAUAGGGGAGCCGAAGGGAAACCGAGUCUUAACUGGGCGUUAAGUUGCAGGGUAUAGACCCGAAACCCGGUGAUCUAGCCAUGGGCAGGUUGAAGGUUGGGUAACACUAACUGGAGGACCGAACCGACUAAUGUUGAAAAAUUAGCGGAUGACUUGUGGCUGGGGGUGAAAGGCCAAUCAAACCGGGAGAUAGCUGGUUCUCCCCGAAAGCUAUUUAGGUAGCGCCUCGUGAAUUCAUCUCCGGGGGUAGAGCACUGUUUCGGCAAGGGGGUCAUCCCGACUUACCAACCCGAUGCAAACUGCGAAUACCGGAGAAUGUUAUCACGGGAGACACACGGCGGGUGCUAACGUCCGUCGUGAAGAGGGAAACAACCCAGACCGCCAGCUAAGGUCCCAAAGUCAUGGUUAAGUGGGAAACGAUGUGGGAAGGCCCAGACAGCCAGGAUGUUGGCUUAGAAGCAGCCAUCAUUUAAAGAAAGCGUAAUAGCUCACUGGUCGAGUCGGCCUGCGCGGAAGAUGUAACGGGGCUAAACCAUGCACCGAAGCUGCGGCAGCGACACUAUG
rnacentral:rRNA from 1 species